rfam:Aspergillus aculeatus ATCC 16872 unplaced genomic scaffold ASPACscaffold_1, whole genome shotgun sequence.
GACAAUAUGGCCGAGCGGUCUAAGGCGAUAGACUAGAAAUCUAUUCUCUUCGGAGGCGUCGGUUCAAAUCCGACUGUUGUCG